rnacentral:rRNA from 1 species
CCGGGCUUGAACUGUAGGCGAACGAUCCAGGGAUGGUGAGGCCCUUCGGGGCGCCUAUGGAGGUGCUGCAUGGUUGUAGUCAGCUCGUGCCGUGAGGUGUCGGAUUAAGUGCCAUAACGAGCGCAACCCCUCUCUUCAGUUGCCAUCAGGUUAUGCUGGGCACUCUGGAGACACUGCCACCGUAAGGUGUGAGGAAGGUGGGGAUGAAGUCUAAUCAGCACGGCCCUUACGUCCGGGGAUACACACGUGUUACAAUGGGUGGUACAGAGAGUUGGGUGUACGCAAGUGCAUUGUAAUCAAGAAAGCCAUCCUCAGUUCGGAGGGGGUGGGCAACCCGACCCCACGAAGCUGGAUUCGAUAGUAAUCGCGAAUC